GUUCCGCUCCGCUCCCCUCCCGCCCCCGCUCCCCCCCCCCGCUCCCCUCCGCUCCCGCUCCCGCCGUGCCCUGGAGAUGCUGUCGGAGCUGCGCCGCCGCCUUCCCCCCCCCCCCCCAGGAAGCGACCCACGGCGCCAGAUCUGACGGAGAUCGUCCCCGGGGUGACGAAGCUUAUGGAAAAAAAGACCAAAGGCCUCGAGGGAUGUUCUUCUUGAUCCCCCGGGGCAAACGGAGGUGUCAGCGUCAGGAGCCAUCCUAACUGGGGCCCUGGUAGG